GACGAACUGUGCAAACGUUAUUCGGAAUCACUGGGCUUGAAGAGUGCGUAGGCGGUUUCGUAAGUAGGGUGUGAAAGCCCCCAGCUCAACUGGGGAACUGCGUCCUAAACUGCGAGGCUGGAGUGAGGUAGGGGUGUGUGGAACUUCCGGUGGAGCGGUGAAAUGUGUUGAUAUCGUAAGGAAGACCAGUGGCGAAGGCGGAUCUCUGGACAGUUACUGACACUGAGGCACGAAGGCCAGGGGAGCAAACGGG
rnacentral:rRNA from 1 species